rnacentral:rRNA from 1 species
GACGAACGCUGGCGGCGUGCUUAACACAUGCAAGUCGAACGAUGAAGAAAAGAAUUGAAGCUUCGGCAGAAAUUCAUUUCGGAUUAGUGGCAGACGGGUGAGUAACGCGUGAGCAACCUACCUCUUACAAAGGGAUAGCCUCGGGAAACCGGGAUUAAUACCAUAUAACAUUGCGACGAAGCAUUUCGAUGCAAUCAAAGCUACGGCGGUAAGAGAUGGGCUCGCGUCCCAUUAACCAGAUGGUGAGGUAACGGCUCACCAUAGUAACGAUGGGUAACCGGCCUGAGAGGGUGAACGGUCACACUGGAACUGAGACACGGUCCAGACUCCUACGGGAGGCAGCAGUGGGGAAUAUUGCACAAUGGAGGGAACUCUGAUGCAGCGACGCCGCGUGAGUGAUGAAGGAAUUCGUUUCGUAAAACUCUGCUCUAUGGGAAGAAAAGGACUGUACCAUAGGAGAAAGCUCCGGCUAAAUACGUGC